AGAGUUUGAUCAUGGCUCAGAUUGAACGCUGGCGGCAGGCCUAACACAUGCAAGUCGAACGGUAACAGGAUGUGCUUGCACAUCGCUGACGAGUGGCGGACGAGUGAGUAAUGCUUGGGAACAUGCCUUUGUGAGGGGGAUAACAGUUGGAAACGACUGCUAAUACCGCAUAACGUCUUCGGACCAAAGGGGGCUUAGGCUCUCGCGCAAAGAGUGGCCCAAGUGAGAUUAGCUAGUUGGUGAGGUAAAGGCUCACCAAGGCGACGAUCUCUAGCUGUUCUGAGAGGAAGAUCAGCCACACUGGGACUGAGACACGGCCCAGACUCCUACGGGAGGCAGCAGUGGGGAAUAUUGCACAAUGGGGGAAACCCUGAUGCAGCCAUGCCGCGUGUGUGAAGAAGGCCUUCGGGUUGUAAAGCACUUUCAGUUGUGAGGAAAAGUUAGUAGUUAAUACCUGCUAACCGUGACGUUAGCAACAGAAGAAGCACCGGCUAACUCCGUGCCAGCAGCCGCGGUAAUACGGAGGGUGCGAGCGUUAAUCGGAAUUACUGGGCGUAAAGCGCACGCAGGCGGUUAUUUAAGCUAGAAGUGAAAGCCCCGGGCUCAACCUGGGAAGGCCUUUUAGAACUGAAUGACUAGAGUCUUGGAGAGGGGAGUGGAAUUCCACGUGUAGCGGUGAAAUGCGUAGAUAUGUGGAGGAACAUCAGUGGCG
rnacentral:rRNA from 1 species